AUUGAACGCUGGCGGCAGGCCUAACACAUGCAAGUCGAGCGGAGCGGCGGACGGGUGAGUAAUGCCUAGGAAUCUGCCUGGUAGUGGGGGAUAACGUCCGGAAACGGGCGCUAAUCCCGCAUACUAUCAGAUGAGCAUAGGUCGGAUUAGGUAGUUGGUGGGGUAAAGGCCUACCAAGGCGACGAUCCGUAACUGGUCUGAGAGGAUGCUCAGUCACGUUGGUACUGAGACACGGCCCAGACUCCUACGGGAGGCAGCAGUGGGGACUCUUCCGCAAUGGACGAAAGUCGGACCGAGCAACGCCGCGUGAGUGAUGACGGCCUUCGGGUGGUAAAGCUCUGUUAAUCGGGACGCGGUACCGGAAUAGAAAGCCAAGGCUAACUACGUGCCAGCAGCCGCGGUAAUUC
rnacentral:rRNA from 1 species